GGCUCAGAUUGAACGCUGGCGGCAGGCCUAACACAUGCAAGUCGAGCGGUAGAGAGGUGCUUGCACCUCUUGAGAGCGGCGGACGGGUGAGUAAUGCCUAGGAAUCUGCCUGGUAGUGGGGGAUAACGCUCGGAAACGGACGCUAAUACCGCAUACGUCCUACGGGAGAAAGCAGGGGACCUUCGGGCCUUGCGCUAUCAGAUGAGCCUAGGUCGGAUUAGCUAGUUGGUGGGGUAAUGGCUCACCAAGGCGACGAUCCGUAACUGGUCUGAGAGGAUGAUCAGUCACACUGGAACUGAGACACGGUCCAGACUCCUACGGGAGGCAGCAGUGGGGAAUAUUGGACAAUGGGCGAAAGCCUGAUCCAGCCAUGCCGCGUGUGUGAAGAAGGUCUUCGGAUUGUAAAGCACUUUAAGUUGGGAGGAAGGGCAGUUACUUAAUACGUGACUGUCUGACGUACCGACA
rnacentral:rRNA from 1 species